CUCUAUCCCCAAAGUGAUAUUUAACAUAAAGGAGUGUUUUCAGUUGACAAUAUAGUUACUGAUCCAGGGUUUAAACUCAUGGAGAGGAAUUUGCCUCUGCAUUACUCAGUUUUAUACAGAAUCCCUAAUUUGCUUAAAGUUUUCCCAUGUUCAUUUGCUUAUACUUUAGUGGUUGACUGGAAAAAGAAAUACAGAGCAAUGUAGAUACCUGAGUCAUGUCAUCCUUGUAACACGUAGAGUUGUUCCAAUUAACUAGCCACGUCAAAUCAGAGAAAUGGAACUGACAGUAAGAGUAUAAAUGCCAAAUAGGGGUACAUUCUAAUCCAAGUUACAUCAGGUUUAUUAUGAAUUUGGGAGGAAGUCAAAUCCUCAGGCAAUUACAUCCAGGAAACCUAAUCAUCUUCAGUCAGCACAAGCUGCUGUAGCCCAUAAUAUGUCAUGUCAUAUAUAACACUUCAGAAAUUGUUGCAAUUGCAUCCAAUCUUCCUGUACCUCCUUUCUAGGUUUGAAAUAAUAUUUGCAUCAGACAGAAAACAGCCAGGUCCUGGAGUGAUGACUUGGAAUGCUGUCUUCUGGAGGAAAAAUAAGAGUUUUAUCUGAUUUUGAACUGGUUCUCUAUGUUGGAUAGGGGAUGGAAUGGGCUCAAUAGGAAAGGGGCUCCCAUGGCUGGGAGUGACACCUGCAUUCCACCAUAAGGACAAAGCAGCAAUCAUCUUAACACAAACAGGUGGCUGAGUUUGAAGAAAAUCUUUUCUUUCACUUGUUUGAGAAAAUGUGUUCACUGACCUGGAUUCAUCUUGAAGGUAAACUUGAAUUCUUUGCUGUUCAUGAGGUCAACAAACUCCUUCAGAGCAGCAUAAAAAGGCUG